rnacentral:rRNA from 1 species
AUUGAACGCUGGCGGCAAGCUUAACACAUGCAAGUCGAGCGGGGAAAGGUAGCUUGCUACCUGACCUAGCGGCGGACGGGUGAGUAAUGCUUAGGAAUCUGCCUAUUAGUGGGGGACAACAUCUAGAAAGGGAUGCUAAUACCGCAUACGUCCUACGGGAGAAAGCAGGGGACCUUCGGGCCUUGCGCUAACAGAUGAUCCUAAGUCGGAUUAGCUAGUUGGUGGGGUAAAGGCCUACCAAGGCGACGAUCUGUCGCGGGUCUGAUAGGAUGAUCCGCCAAACUUGGAAUGGGGAACGGGCCAGGCUUCUACGGGGAGCAGCAGUGGGGGAUAUUGGACAAUGGGGGGAACCCUGAUCCAACCAAGCCGCGUGUGUGAAGAAGGCCUUUUGGUUGGAAAGCACUUUAAGCGAGGAGGAGGCUACCGAGAUUAAUACUCUUGGAUAGUGGACGUUACUCGCAGAAUAAGCACCGGCUAACUCUGUG